UACGGAGGGUGCGAGCGUUAAUCGGAAUGACUGGGCGUAAAGGGCACGUAGGCGGUUUACUAAGCUCAUUGUGAAAGGUUCGGGCUUAACCCGAAGAGUGCAGUGAGAACUGGUAAGCUUGAGUUUUGGAGAGGGGAGUAGAAUUUCCGGAGUAGCGGUGAAAUGCGUAGAGUUCGGAAGGAAUACCAGUGGCGAAGGCGACUCUCUGGCCAAAAACUGACGCUGAGGUGCGAAAGCGUGGGGAGCAAACAGG
rnacentral:rRNA from 1 species